UCCAGGAAGUAGCUUUUGGUGGAAAAAUGACAUUACUAUUUCAUAGAGUCUUUUAUCUCACAUGCUAAACAAUUCUUAUUCUUGAACAUGUUGGAUCAAUCAAAGAUGCCCAUUCACUGACUGAGCAAGGGACAAUUUGAUUCGAAUUAGCUAGCUAGCUAGCUAGUUCCUUUCUGCAUUUAACACCAAAGGGAAUGAAAAAGUUUUGCAAAGGGGGAGACUGUUAGUAAAUCUGCUGCAGAGAAAGGAAGGGAGCUAUCCCAUGUUUUAAACCAGCAGCAGUUUGUGAAUAAAAUGGAACUUUAAAGCUGACAACAUUUUCAAACUGAUAAAAAUACACAGUUGGAACUGGCCAGUCUCUGGUAAAGCUGGAGGCAGAGAAGAAGGACUUUUACAGGGGAACAGACGUCCUCAUGAAGAUCAUUAUGUGUAUAUUUUUUAAGUAACUACAGACGGAUGAAACCAUUCGUCCUGUACACUUCAAACGGGGGAGGAUGCAGGGCUUAAGUGAAGAUGAUCCAUGCUGCCUAUCUUUUUAUGCCAACUGACACUGCUGGUGACCCCCGAGCAGAUGUUCCUUGUAAUAAUCUGCAGUUGAGAGAGGCAUGCACGCCAGGUGGAGAUCCCGGAGUCCACUCCCAAACGAUUUUCCCCUUAUAAAACAAAAGGAGCUUUGAGGUAUCGGCUUUCAGCGACACAAAGAUCGGGGUGUAAGGGUCUACAGAGGGGAGUACUUUUAAUACAAUUAGAGGUCUUCAGAGACAGGCAGCGGGGCCAGGCAGGCAAACAGGGCACUGGCUGACUGACCGACUGACUUGGCAAGACAAAGACAAGGAUGUUUAGAUGGCCACAAAACAGGCUUUUAAAAUGACACAAGGUGCACUGUUGCGGCGGGUGUUGAGGUAAGAGGAAAUAAAGAGGCGGAAAUGAGAGAGCUGUUGGAAGAUAUGCCAUAAUAUCUGUAAAACUAUCUGGAUCUGGUUUUAGUUUGGGAGAGUGGGGAGAGACUGGGGGAGGCUAGGCAGAGGGAGAGAGUCAGUAAGUCAAAGACAGGAGAGAGAGAGACUAGGGGACUGGAGCCGCCUGAGCCAGAGUCCCCUAAGCAAGGGCACAGCUCCUGUUACCGCCUGCUAAUGGAGUGGGGCUAUUUCAGUAGCAUUGAUUGACUGCUUUCUUCCUCUGAGCGAGCAACUUUCUCAUAUCUGGGGGAAAAUGGAUCAUAAGCACCCCGGCAGACGAGAGCAGGCUGGUGGAGAGGAUGAUGUUGGUGGCACGAACACCCCUCUGUCUUCUCUCUCUCUGUGUGACUGUCUGGUAGCUCGGUGGUGGAGGUGGGGUGGAUGGGGGUUGGAGGUGUAGGGAAGCUACUGUGAAAUUCCUCCUAAGACCUUUAGGGGGUGCAGUCAUUCCACCUUGAAACUGAUCAAGCCCCCUCUCUGCUUUGUCAUAACUGUCAAACGCAAAUCCUUCCUGGUUGAUUGUUUUCAUUGUGGGGAGAAGGGGUAAGGCUGACAGAUUUCCUGAAUAAGAAAUGGGACAGGAUAUGAGAAUUUAUCUGACAGGUAUACACGGCUGAUUUGAUACCAUUGUGGAGCUGGAUUAGCGGGUCACAACCAGUUUUGGUACCAAAUUAAUGAUGGUUACUAAUUAAUUUGACAGGGUGGGAUGAGCAAGGGCAACAUCACGCACUACUUUGCUGCUGCUGAUGAAAGGAUGGCCUCCGUCUUAAUUAGAGUUUCUCUCCACAUGAACAAGUAGCUGACAUUCAUAAUUUCUGGUGUACUAAAACAAGUUCAUCUCAAGCUUGCUUUGAAGCCCAUCAGCAAAAUGUAUGUUCUUUUAUUUUAUUUUUACUGUUAAAAAUGGACAAAAGUGGUAUCCAAAUAAAACACUUUACAUCUCA